GAUAUAAUAAAAAUAAAGUAAUAUAAUUCAUCAAUUGACACUUUUUAUUUCAACAAAUAGAAAAUAAACAUGCUUCAAUAAAAAACAAGAUUCCAAAAACUUAUAGUCGACCAUCUAUAUCGAACAUAAUUCUUAUAUCGUAAUCAAGACUCAUCAUUAUCAAGAUUACCUUCACAGGGAUUCUCACUUGUUUUAACAUCGAUCUUACAAACUUCAAAGAUCGAAAUCACAUUGGAAUCAGUCAAGUUGAUCUUUUGGAAGACUUCACAAAGGCAAGAUUUAUUAUCUGAGUAGAGAUGAUUCAUUUUGUCGCAACAUUUAUCCAUACCAACUGUGUUAUUUACAUUGAUGCAAGCAUCAGACAAAGUCUUUACGCAAGUAAGAUCUCCAUGAACCGUCAAUACCAUCCAGACUGUUAUGACCAUGAUCGCCAUAAAUGUAAUUGUCUUCUUCUCCAUCUUCAAAUCUCUUUCACACCAACUAGAUAGCUAGAUAAGAGUUAAGUACUCUUGUGUGACCAACUCAAUUAUAUGUCUUCUUCUACCAUUCAAUUCUCUACUUAUAGUUAUUGUAAUUUUUUUAGAAUUUGUUGAAAAUUCUAAGUGGAUAGCAUGAAGUUGAUUACAAUAUUGAGAUAUUUAAUUUUUACGUGAUACGCAAUAUCAUAACUACUCUAUAAACAUGGGAUGCAUACUUUUAUGUGAUCUGAUCAGAUCAAAACUGAUCAAUUUCGGGGUUUGACUAGAUAUUUCUAGGUUAUCUGAAUAUUUUAAACAUUUGUUAUGCAAUUUAUGGUGAUUCUGUGCAUUGCCCAUUCUUGUUAUUAUAUAGGGAAUAUGUUACCCAUCGUUAUAGGGAAUUAUUUUAAUGUUUGUGCGACUUUUAAUUAGUUGGUUUACCUAAUGUGGCCGUUAAAUACGUAGUUAUUGAUCAUAUCAUGUGAGUUUUGAUACUCUUUUUAAGCAAUUCAAUUGCGAUUUAUGAUUAAAUAAAUACGGAAAUUAUCAGAGAAGCUCAGUGAGCUCAAAAGCGCUCACCCAGGCUGAAACGUCCGAUUUAUUGCAUCUUCACCUCCACCGUUGCUCAUUUAAUUAUUUAAUAUUCAUAUAUUGACACACAUCCUCAAGAUUCUUCUUACACCUACCUUGUACCUUCAAUUCUAGUCUUCUUACAUCUAACCGACCUUGUACCUUCACUACUAGUUUUCUUACACCUUACGUACGUUGUCUUCUUCUCUUUCACAUGCCAUCUCAUCUUCUUCUACUUUUUUUCUCAUCUUCUUCUACUUUUUCUUCUCAUCGGCAUUUCCUUUUUUUCAUUUAAUCUUCUUGUCGGUGGAAACCAUUUAUUUUCUUCUCGCUCGAAACACAUCCUCACUUUGUAGGUAUUUGUAUUUCGUUUUUUCUUCCGUUAAUCAUGUAUUUGUAUCUCGUUCAUGUAAACCCAUUUUUUUCCUUCUUCAUGCACAAAACACAUCUUCUCCUACGUUUUUUUAUUGUUAUCACCUUCGCCAGUCUUCUAUUAUCUGUUUUUCUGUUGCAUUACAUUUUCUCAGUAAAAUACUCUUACACGUUUAUUUUCGAAUCGAUGUACUUCAUAUCGUUCUAAACGUUUUCCAAUAUCCCUCUGAAACGCUUUUAAACAUUGUUUGUCAUUCUGUUUUGUCCCACAUACGAUUGACGUCAAUGUUCUCAACAUAGCCCCAAUCAUUGUCUAUCUACGGUUCAAAUCAUUGUCCACCUUCGGUUUCAAUCGUUGUUCAACCUACGGUCCAAAUCAUUGUCUAUCUACGGUUCCAAGUUCCACGUACGGCGCAAAUUAUUUUUCCACCUACGGCAUCAAUCGUUGUCUACCUACGGUUCGAAUCAUUGUCCACCUACGGUUCCAAUCGUUGUUCCACUUACGCCACAUAUCGUUGUUCACCUACGGUUUCAAUCGUUGUUCCACCUACGGCACAAAUCAUUGUUCCACCUACGGCAUCAAUCGUUGUCUACCUACGGUUCGAAUCAUUGUCCACCUAUGGUUCCAAUCGUUGUUCCACCUACGUCACAUAUCAUUGUCCACCUACGGCAUCAAUCGUUGUUCCACCUACGCCAUCAAUCGUUCUUCCACCUAUUGUACUGACCACGUCCGCUACCGCGGGAACCUCUUCGACCAUCCAUAUGACUGCAACAUAUUAUACAAUAAUCAAGAAAUCAGGAAAUCAUUAGACAACAAUAAUCAGUGGGUAGGAAAACAACUCAAGCAUUUCUGAAACUACAUGAACAUAUUGAGGAACAAUACGACUACCAUUUAAAUGAACAAGAACACAACCAUAUUUGGAUAAAACAUUAUUCGAGAAUCAAAAAAUAGAAUAAAAAUUAUAAACAUUAGAAGAAAAAAACCCUAACAAUAAUCAGAAAAUCAUUAGAGAACCGUAAUCUCUAUUAGAAAAACACCUCGAUCAUUUCUGGAAAUACAUGAACGUAUUGAGAACAAUACGACUAACAUUUAAUGAACAAGAACACAAACAUAUUUCGAUAAAGACAUGGUUACACAUGGUAUUGGAAAUCAAAAAACAGAACAAAAAUUACAAAAAAUCGGAACAAAAAAAUUUGGAUACACACAUGUUCGAUUGCUAGAAAAAACAUACAAAAGGGGAGUCAAAAAUUAAACAUACUGAUUACUAAAACAAAAAUUCAAAAAAUGGUACCAACUCACAUACAAUAGCUAGAAGAAGAAACAAACUAAAAAGAAAUGGUACACAAAUUAAAAUCGAAGAAGAAGAACAGAAAAAAAAGGAGAAUAAAAAACAAAUAAGAACAAUGAAAAUAACGGCUGAAAAAGGGGACGAAGGUCUGGAAGUGGGUGAUGGCGAUGGUGGAGAUAAAAAAAAGGGGACGAAGGUCUGGAUGUUACCUUCAAUGCGAUGGCGAUAGUGGAGAUCAAAAAAAAUGGAAGAAGGUAUGAAAGUUACCUUGAAUGGGAGAAGACGGUAUAGUCGGACGGUGUUGGGAAAUGCGAAGGCAGACCGGAACGGCGAAGGCAGACCAGAACGGCGAAGGCAGACCGGAACUAUUGGAAAACGCGAAGGCGAGACUGGAGAACACGGUCUGGAACGGGAGAACAGUGAUUAAGAAAAUGGUCUGGAACGGGAGAACGGUGAUUAAGCAAACGGUCUGGAACGGGAGAACGGUGAUUAAGCAAACGGUCUGGAACGGGAGAUAAUCGGAGAAGAAAAUGAGUCGAUCGUCACUGUGGGUGGGGAAGGGUUUAACGUUUGGAGGAGAUGGGGAAAUGGGUGGGAAAAAAAAAUAAACGUACUCUCUGAAAAGGUGGGUGGUAUAAUUGACAACCGUUCACUCAGACACUCUUACACUUUUACACAAAUAAAGAAAGAUUAAGCCUUACAGACACAUAGAACCAUAGCCUACUCACUAAUUAGAGACAUUUUCAACCCAAAAAAAAUCAUUAUAUAAAUAAACGGUUCACAUUUCAUCUGCUAUCUCACAAUCAUAUCAACGGCCACAAUUCAAGGGAGUUUUUGAGCUUCUUUAGGAAAGACUUCCCUGAUGUUUGUUCAUACGUAGUUAUUGAUCAUAUCAUGUGAGUUUUGAUACUUUUUUUAAGAAAUUCAAUUGCGAUUUAUGAUUAAAUAAAUAAAUCCUAGUGUCUAAUCUUCUAGAUUAGAAAUAAGCAAACCCUUUUGUUGAAAAUUCAAAAAGGGCAUUAAAUUGAAAAUUAAGUGACAUAAAAACCUAAUGUGUGGCUUAGCAACUUAGUUUCUAUUGAUGCUUUUUUUGAACUCAAGUUGUCAAUAUUAUUUAAAAAGACACAAAGAAAAAUGUUAAGCCUAACAAACCCUAACUAGAUCAUAUUAUACUAAAUUCAUGAGCCAUUAUCAAAUUAUGCUUUAAUUUGGGGAAAUUUGGAUUGAAAAGUUACAACAAGUUUGACCGCUUUCAUUUUUAAAGUAAAAAUAAUCAAGGGGAAUGUCAUGCAGCAUAUGUCAGAGGUUUUCAAUACUUGACGUAUAAUCAGACCAUUGCAAAUGUAGAAAUGGAUUAAUUGUAUAGGCUCAGAUUUAUAUGAAAUGAUAAUCAACCAACCUUGUGACAUUAUCAAAAUAUAGAUAUUUUAAAUCAUCAUUGAUUUCAAUGAAAUUCAAUGGCUGAAAAAAUAAAAUCUCAUACUAUCUCAUUGAGUGCAACUUGUCGAGGUUGUCAAUAUUGGAUAUAAAUAUAAUUUAUACUACAAUCAUGUAGGGUGGUACAAUAUUCUAUAAUAUAUUAUUUGAUUCUCUUUUUUAUCAAUAUACUGCGAAGUUCUGAUAGAAUAUAUAUGGUUCUUUAGUGGUGAUAUGAUUGCACCCGUCUUUUUUUUUCAAUAUAUAUCGAAUGUUUGAGGUAGUUGAAACCAUUCAAUCAACAACUCCAAAAUACAUCCACUACAGAAAAACAUUAUAUGAUUGCACGAGGGAAAUUUUUAAGUUCGUGUUGACUGUACGAGGGACCAUAUCGACGCAAGUGGGAAAUUUGAGGGUUUCCUUAAAUUCCUGGCGACAAAUGAAAAUAACAGGCGGGAAAAUUAAUUGACGGCUAGGCCGCCAGCAUAUUUUUCCCGACCGUUGAGGAAAUAUGUUCUGGCGACCAGGCCGCCAGCAACUUAAAAUAAAAAAUUAGACCGGCGGCCUAGCCGCCAGUUAAUUUCUCUUAUUUACAAGAAAAUUAGACCGGCAAACUCAUGUAGUCUGCCGACGGCCAGGCCGUCAGUAGGGAGCCUCCAGAACUAUGUUGUUUUUUUGUAGUGAUCAUCUACCUAUAUUCCUUCUUUUUUCCAAUAGUCGGAGUUUGUAUAGAUCGAGAAAGGAAAGGAAAGGAAAGGAAAGGAAAGGAAAAGAAAAGGAAAAGAAAAGAGGAAUAGGAAGGAAUUUAGCCGAAGUAGAUCGAUAAUUUUGAUCUCAGCUUGGCAAACCAAUUUCUUGGUGUCUAUUUCAAACUAUAAAGUGAUUUCUUUAACUUGUUGAUGGGUGGGGGGUAUUCGUGGAUCACUCCCACUCAAGUUCUUUACUUAAAGUUCUAGCUCAAUAAAUGUCUCCCUCUGUUCAUUAAUGAAGCUAAUAUUUAUACAUAUAGUUAGACGGCUUAGUGAAUGUAGGGCGACCCUAGUUGAUGGUAUUGUUAGACGAGGUCUCUGGAUGGGCCUAGUUUGGUAAAUUUGGUAUCAUCACUUGCAUAUUAUUUUAUCAUCCUUCUCUAAUAACCCUUGUAGAGGUCAAGUUUUGAAGGAAGACAUUUUGCACGUCAACUUGAUCUAAUUCUCAUCGCUUCACAGACACACUGAUGGCCACUUGAUAUUUUUCUACUAAGAUGAUUUGGGAGUUGGGUUCUUUUGUAGAAUGAACCAAAGCUCAAAGGAGGAAGAUGGAUGAUAUAAGUUUUCAACAAUUGUUGGAAAUAAAUCAAAUGAGCACAUUUAUAGCUUUUGGGGGUUCUUUUCCUAAAUGAAAGGAAAUUCAAACUUGAUUACAUGAUUGAACUUGAUGAUCACUUCUCCAAAAUAAAAAUAAAGUAAUAUAAUUCAUCAAUUGACACUUAUUAUUUCAAUAAAUAUAAAAUAAACAAGAUUCCAAAAAAUUAUAGUCGGCAAUCUAGAUCGAACAUACGCGCACACAAAUCCAUUUCUCUAGAAAAACUCAGAUAUGAAUAAUAUGGAAUCAAGACUCAUCAUUAUCAAGAUUACCUUCACAGGGAUUCUCACUUGUUUCAAUAUCGAUCUUACAAACUUCAAAGAUCGAAAUCACAUUGGAAUCAGUCAAGUUGAUCUUUUGGAAGACUUCACAAAGGCAAGAUUUAUUACCUGAGUAGAGAUGAUUCAUCUUAUCGCAACAUUUAUCCAGACCAACACUGUUAUUUACAUCGAUGCAAGCAUCAGACAAAGUCUUUACACAAGUAAGAUCUCCAUGAACCGUCAAUACCAUCCAGACUGUUAUGGCUAUCAUCGCCAUAAAUGUAAUUGUCUUCUUCUCCAUCUUCAAAUCUCUUUCACACCAACUAGAUAGCUAGAUAAGAGUUAAGUACUCUUGUGUGACCAACUCAAUUAUAUGUCUUCUU
rnacentral:lncRNA from 1 species